CUUCUGUGUCUCGAGGCUGAGAGGAGGCGCUUACUUCCCUUGUAAGCGCCUCCUCUCAGCCUCGAGACACAGAAG